AAGCGCACACGCCUCCUCCGCUUGGGGCGAGGGAGAGGUGGGCGGGACUGAGGAUGGCGCUGCGUGCGUCUCUGGCGAUUGAGAGAUGCACACAUCACACAACACAUGGAGCUCGCUUCUUGUCGCUCGGCGAUGAAGCGAACCCUUCGCGUGUCGCCGCUCCACUGCCCGUGGUGGUGCCCGUGUGUUGCUUGGCGCUCAUGGCGGCUGCGCUGUUGCAGGCGUCCUACGACUUUGGCACGCCUUCACCGCGCAGUCUAAGCAGCAUCUCAUCUCUCUGAAGCCCUUGCGGCGGGCAUGGUGGACCCGCCCAUGAGCGGGAAGUGGAUUCCAGGGAGCCCUGGCACGCUGAGUUGCCGCCGGUGCGCCACGCGCGAACGAAUUUGCGCAGGUAAGCGUGUCUGCCUUGAAGUACGCAGCAGUGCCAGCCACCCCACUAGUCGGCCCUUCUGGCCACGGUGAUGCAGGCUACCGUGGCAAUCUCGCCCAACUCGAGCGCAGCCAAGCCUGCGCGACGUCCCCCUGCGCCUUGGAGGCGCGUAUCGCCGCCCUGCCGCGGGAUUCGAACACGCGGACGCAAGCCCCCCCCCUCUCCGAUCUCGCACAGCUGCAGCGCCACAAGUCCAAGUUUGCUCAUGCACCACCGCCGACGACGCCGCUUACAAGACAGCCUGCGCGUUGCUUCGACGCGUGGUACGGCUGGUAGGGUAUCCUGGUGAGCUCCGACGUCCACGGUGGGGCACCAGCUCUAGCCCGCCGAAUCCAAGCAAAACGAUGCUGGGAGUGGUGCGCCAGCACAUUGUAUUCUCUCGAAGCCCCUUGCAACCGCUUCGGCAACCCUCGUCGGGGGCUUGGCGCGGUGCGUGCUAACCCCAAGGGGCGAUGAAGUUGGGCAGUGCGCUGAAGCUCGUCGUCGAUGCGGCAACGGUAAAGGGGUCGCUCAGCACACUGGCGCGGUCGCGCGACGCUCCGCAGCUACGCCUCGUGCCGCAGCGGAGUGGUGCAACCGAGUGCCAGUUGACUCAGCCCGUUCAGCCUCCUCAUCCUGCUAACGACACGGGCAUGGACUUCUACGAUGCCGUCGUGGGAUGCAACCCUCGCACAGCCGGUCUCCGAACCAGAGUCCGGGGAAGGGAAGCGGGUGCGGCGCAAGGCUGGCACUGCUAGCUUUUCGCAGCAACUGAAGAGCCUCUUCAGGCCCCUGUCGAGCCACUCUUCAGAGUGGGAGCCGCGAGCGCCUCUCCUGGUUGCCGAGGCUUCCCCCAGGCUGCAGCCCUGCUCUGCUUCUGCAGAGCCUCGCGGAAGUGAAUGGGCCCACAAUGCUCACCGGUGCAGCCAUGUCCGCACACGCAAGCCUCGAGGCAACGGCGACCACCGUACAGGAGCAGCUCCCUCAUUCAGCUUAGCUCAUGCCCUUCUCUGCCCUUACCGGGCGUUUUUACAACCUCACACUCGCCAGUGAUGGAGCCGUGGAAGAAGUCGGCUGAGAGCUGCCCUCUGUACACCGUCAGGAGCGAUAGCGAGACCAUCUUCCGACUCCACGCCACUGCAGAGGGCACGGCAGCGUCGGCCUCGUCGACGACGAGACGCUCGCAGUGGCAUUGAACGGCCUUCGUAAUGCUAUGGAGCCUAACUGGCAAUCCUGCGACCACCACUGUGCAGAGCAGCGUGUGCAGCAGAUCCAGCACUGGGCGCCCGUGGCGACGGAGCUUGCUAGCAGGGAUGGAGGUGCCGGUGCUGGCGUGUAAGAACUACCUGCUGCGACGGACGUCAAUGGCACACAUUCCGCCUCGCUGCCCAUCUCUGGGGAGCCAGCCCUCCUGCUCCCCAUCGAUCGCGGAUGUGGCACAUGCUCCAGCUGGUGGAGAACGGUCGAGCCGCUUCCAAGCUGCUACACGCGCGUCUCCGCGGCGGGGAAAGGAUGUGCAUCGAUCAGCUUGACAGAGGCGCGAGUGUGUGUCCGGGGCGCAACCGCAUCGUUGGGAGUUCUGUGAAGUGGCACCCUUGGAGCGCGAAUGCACGGCUUCGGUUCCCGCUCUCUCUCCGUCAGUGGUGCCGCCGCUAACCCCCUCCCACUACCCCUCUCACGUCUUUUCUUCUUUGGUUUCUACAGGUGUGCGCCGUGAGGCGUUGCGCG
rnacentral:misc_RNA from 1 species